CGCAAGCCUGACGGAGCAACGCCGCGUGAGGGAUGAAGGCCUCUGGGCUGUAAACCUCUUUUCUCAAGGAAGAAGACAUGACGGUACUUGAGGAAUAAGCCACGGCUAAUUCCGUGCCAGCAGCCGCGGUAAUACGGGAGUGGCAAGCGUUAUCCGGAAUUAUUGGGCGUAAAGCGUCCGCAGGCGGCCUUGUAAGUCUGUUGUCAAAGCGUGGAGCUUAACUCCAUUUCGGCAAUGGAAACUGUGAGGCUUGAGUGUGGUAGGGGCAGAGGGAAUUCCCGGUGUAGCGGUGAAAUGCGUAGAUAUCGGGAAGAACACCAGUGGCGAAGGCGCUCUGCUGGGCCAUCACUGACGCUCAUGGACGAAAGCCAGGGUGAGCG
rnacentral:rRNA from 1 species